rnacentral:lncRNA from 1 species
UUCGUUGUUGUUCCAUACUUUCUGUUUAAGUGUUCUUAGUCAUAUUUUAGUUAUUGUGUGCUAGGAUCGAUUAAGAAUCCACUUUAUCUUGCCUAAAAUUUUAGUUACUGUUUCAUUUAAAAAUGUAGAAAAGUUCAUGUUUAGUUUUAGUUUUGGUGCUAGCUGAUUAGUUUAAGCUAUGUUGAUCAUAUUUUGGCGCAUCUUUCUCGACUUGG